rnacentral:rRNA from 1 species
GUGAACCUGCGGAAGGAUCAUUAUUGAAUUAUGUUUUCUGGAUGGGUUGUCGCUGGCUCUUUGGAGCAUGUGCACGCUUGUCUGGACUUCAUUUUCAUCCACCUGUGCACCUUUUGUAGUCUUUCAGAGGGGGAUUGAGAAAAAAGGUGGUCAGCCCUGUCGGGGCAAGUAAGCAAUUACUUUUCCUGGAUGUGAGGACUGCUGUUGCGAAAGCGACGGCUCUCUUCUACUUGACCACUGGCAACUUUCCUCGCUGGAAGUCUAUGUUUAUAUAUCAUAUACCCUGUAGUAUGUCAAAGAAUGUUGUCACAUGGGCGAAUGCCUAUGAAAUCAUAUACAACUUUCAGCAACGGAUCUCUUGGCUCUCGCAUCGAUGAAGAACGCAGCGAAAUGCGAUAAGUAAUGUGAAUUGCAGAAUUCAGUGAAUCAUCGAAUCUUUGAACGCACCUUGCGCUCCUUGGUAUUCCGAGGAGCAUGCCUGUUUGAGUGUCAUUAAAUUCUCAACUCCCCAGCAUUUUUUUGUGAUGUCGGGUGAGCUUGGAUUGUGGAGGCUUUUGCUGGCCACGUUUAUUUGGGGUCAGCUCCUCUGAAAUGCAUUAGCAGAACCGUUUGCGAUCUGCCGCAAGUGUGAUAAACUAUCUACACUGGCUUUGGGGGAUCGCUCUCUGUGUGUUCAGCUUCUAAUCGUCCUUCUGGGACAACUUUUACCAAGCCGUUUGACCUCAAAUCAGGUAGGACUACCCG